UAAUACAUGCAAGUCGAACGAGAUCUGAUUAUUGAAAGGUGCUUGCAUCUUGAUUUAAUUGGGAACGAGUGGCGGACGGGUGAGUAACACGUGGGUAACCUGCCCUUAAGUGGGGGAUAACAUUUGGAAACAGAUGCUAAUACCGCAUAAAUCCAAGAACCGCAUGGUUCUUGGCUGAAAGAUGGCGUAAGCUAUCGCUUUUGGAUGGACCCGCGGCGUAUUAGCUAUUUGGUGAGGUAACGGCUCACCAAGGCAAUGAUACGUAGCCGAACUGAGAGGUUGAUCGGCCACAUUGGGACUGAGACACGGCCCAAACUCCUACGGGAGGCAGCAGUAGGGAAUCUUCCACAAUUGGACGCAAGUCUGAUGGAGCAACGCCGCGUGAGUGAAGAAGGCUUUCGGGUCGUAAAACUCUGUUGUUGGAGAAGAAUGGUCGGCAGAGUAACUGUUGUCGGCGUGACGGUAUCCUACCAGAAAGCCACGGCUAACUACGUGCCAGCAGGCCGCGGUAAUACGUAGGUGGCAAGCGUUAUCCGGAUUUAUUGGGCGUAAAGCGAGCGCAGGCGGUUUUUUAAGUCUGAUGUGAAGCCCUCGGCUUAACCGAUGGAAGUGCAUCGGAAACUGGGAAAUCUUGAGUGCAGAAGAGGACAGUGGAACUCCAUGUGUAGCGGUGAAAUGCGUAGAUAUAUGGAAGAACACCAGUGGCGAAGGCGGCUGUCUGGU
rnacentral:rRNA from 1 species